AACACAUGCAAGUCGAGGGGCAGCAUGGUCUUAGCUUGCUAAGGCCGAUGGCGACCGGCGCACGGGUGAGUAACACGUAUCCAACCUGCCGUCUACUCUUGGACAGCCUUCUGAAAGGAAGAUUAAUACAAGAUGGCAUCAUGAGUCCGCAUGUUCACAUGAUUAAAGGUAUUCCGGUAGACGAUGGGGAUGCGUUCCAUUAGAUAGUAGGCGGGGUAACGGCCCACCUAGUCUUCGAUGGAUAGGGGUUCUGAGAGGAAGGUCCCCCACAUUGGAACUGAGACACGGUCCAAACUCCUACGGGAGGCAGCAGUGAGGAAUAUUGGUCAAUGGGCGAGAGCCUGAACCAGCCAAGUAGCGUGAAGGAUGACUGCCCUAUGGGUUGUAAACUUCUUUUAUAAAGGAAUAAAGUCGGGUAUGCAUACCCGUUUGCAUGUACUUUAUGAAUAAGGAUCGGCUAACUCCGUGCCAGCAGCCGCGGUAAUACGGAGGAUCCGAGCGUUAUCCGGAUUUAUUGGGUUUAAAGGGAGCGUAGAUGGAUGUUUAAGUCAGUUGUGAAAGUUUGCGGCUCAACCGUAAAAUUGCAGUUGAUACUGGAUAUCUUGAGUGCAGUUGAGGCAGGCGGAAUUCGUGGUGUAGCGGUGAAAUGCUUAGAUAUCACGAAGAACUCCGAUUGCGAAGGCAGCCUGCUAAGCUGCAACUGACAUUGAGGCUCGAAAGUGUGGGUAUCAAACAGGAUUAGAUACCCUGGUAGUCCACACGGUAAACGAUGAAUACUCGCUGUUUGCGAUAUACAGCAAGCGGCCAAGCGAAAGCGUUAAGUAUUCCACCUGGGGAGUACGCCGGCAACGGUGAAACUCAAAGGAAUUGACGGGGGCCCGCACAAGCGGAGGAACAUGUGGUUUAAUUCGAUGAUACGCGAGGAACCUUACCCGGGCUUAAAUUGCAGAUGAAUUACGGUGAAAGCCGUAAGCCGCAAGGCAUCUGUGAAGGUGCUGCAUGGUUGUCGUCAGCUCGUGCCGUGAGGUGUCGGCUUAAGUGCCAUAACGAGCGCAACCCUUGUUGUCAGUUACUAAUAGGUUCCGCUGAGGACUCUGACAAGACUGCCAUCGUAAGAUGUGAGGAAGGUGGGGAUGACGUCAAAUCAGCACGGCCCUUACGUCCGGGGCUACACACGUGUUACAAUGGGGGGUACAGAGGGCCGCUACCACGCGAGUGGAUGCCAAUCCCCAAAACCUCUCUCAGUUCGGACUGGAGUCUGCAACCCGACUCCACGAAGCUGGAUUCGCUAGUAAUCGCGCAUCAGCCACGGCGCGGUGAAUACGUUCCCGGGCCUUGUACACACCGCCCGUCAAGCCAUGGGAGCCGGGGGUACCUGAAGUGCGUAACCGCGAGGAGCGCCCUAGGGUAAAACUGGUGACUGGGGCUAAGU
rnacentral:rRNA from 1 species